rnacentral:rRNA from 1 species
CACAAGGGGUGAAGCCUGCGGUUCAAUUGGAGUCAACGCCAGGAAACUUACCAGGAGAGACAGCAGAUUGAGGGUCAGGCUGAAGACCUUACCUGACGAGCUGAGAGGAGGUGCAUGGCCGUCGCCAGCUCGUGCCGUGAGGCGUCCUGUUAAGUCAGGCAACGAGCGAGACCCCUAUCAGUAAUUGCUAACUGCCCAGAGAUGGGCAGAGGCUAGUUACAGAGACUGCCGUUGAUAAAACGGAGGAAGGAAGGGGCCACGGCAGGUCAGUAUGCCCCGAAACUCCUGGGCCACACGCGGGCUGCAAUGGUAGGGACAAUAGGUUCCGACCUCGAAAGAGGAAGGCAAUCCCCAAACCCUACCUCAGUUGUGAUCGAGGAUUGAAACCCGUCCUCGUGAAUAUGGAAUCCCUAGUAACCGCGUGUCAUCACCGCGCGGUGAAUACGUCCCUGCUCC